GGGCCGGUAGUUCAGCUGGGAGAACGCAUCGUUCGCAACGAUGAGGUCGAGGGUUCGAAUCCCUUCCGGUCCA
rnacentral:tRNA from 5 species